rnacentral:rRNA from 1 species
GGUUAAGCGACUAAGCGUACACGGUGGAUGCCCUGGCAGUCAGAGGCGAUGAAGGACGUGCUAAUCUGCGAAAAGCGUCGGUAAGGUGAUAUGAACCGUUACAGCCGGCGAUGUCCGAAUGGGGAAACCCAGUGCAAUUCGUUGCACUAUCGUUAACUGAAUACAUAGGUUAACGAGGCGAACCGGGGGAACUGAAACAUCUAAGUACCCCGAGGAAAAGAAAUCAACCGAGAUUCCCCCAGUAGCGGCGAGCGAACGGGGAGCAGCCCAGAGUCUGAAUCAGCUUGUGUGUUAGUGGAACGGUCUGGAAAGUCCGACGGUACAGGGUGAUAGUCCCGUACACCAAAAUGCACAGGCUGUGAACUCGAAGAGUAGGGCGGGACACGUGGUAUCCUGUCUGAAUAUGGGGGGACCAUCCUCCAAGGCUAAAUACUCCUGACUGACCGAUAGUGAACCAGUACCGUGAGGGAAAGGCGAAAAGAACCCCGGCGAGGGGAGUGAAAAAGAACCUGAAACCGUGUACGUACAAGCAGUGGGAGCACCUUCGGGUGUGACUGCGUACCUUUUGUAUAAUGGGUCAGCGACUUAUAUUCUGUAGCAAGGUUAACCGUAUAGGGGAGCCGCAGGGAAACCGAGUCUUAACUGGGCGUUAAGUUGCAGGGUAUAGACCCGAAACCCGGUGAUCUAGCCAUGGGCAGGUUGAAGGUUGGGUAACACUAACUGGAGGACCGAACCGACUAAUGUUGAAAAAUUAGCGGAUGACUUGUGGCUGGGGGUGAAAGGCCAAUCAAACCGGGAGAUAGCUGGUUCUCCCCGAAAGCUAUUUAGGUAGCGCCUCGUGAAUUCAUCUUCGGGGGUAGAGCACUGUUUCGGCUAGGGGGUCAUCCCGACUUACCAACCCGAUGCAAACUACGAAUACCGAAGAAUGUUAUCACGGGAGACACACGGCGGGUGCUAACGUCCGUCGUGAAGAGGGAAACAACCCAGACCGCCAGCUAAGGUCCCAAAGUCAUGGUUAAGUGGGAAACGAUGUGGGAAGGCACAGACAGCCAGGAUGUUGGCUUAGAAGCAGCCAUCAUUUAAAGAAAGCGUAAUAGCUCACUGGUCGAGUCGGCCUGCGCGGAAGAUGUAACGGGGCUAAACCAUGCACCGAAGCUGCGGCAGCGACACUAUGUGUUGUUGGGUAGGGGAGCGUUCUGUAAGCCUGCGAAGGUGUGCUGUGAGGCAUGCUGGAGGUAUCAGAAGUGCGAAUGCUGACAUAAGUAACGAUAAAGCGGGUGAAAAGCCCGCUCGCCGGAAGACCAAGGGUUCCUGUCCAACGUUAAUCGGGGCAGGGUGAGUCGACCCCUAAGGCGAGGCCGAAAGGCGUAGUCGAUGGGAAACAGGUUAAUAUUCCUGUACUUGGUGUUACUGCGAAGGGGGGACGGAGAAGGCUAUGUUAGCCGGGCGACGGUUGUCCCGGUUUAAGCAUGUAGGCUGGUUGUCCAGGCAAAUCCGGAUAAUCAAGGCUGAGGUGUGAUGACGAGGCACUACGGUGCUGAAGUAACAAAUGCCCUGCUUCCAGGAAAAGCCUCUAAGCAUCAGGUAACAUCAAAUCGUACCCCAAACCGACACAGGUGGUCAGGUAGAGAAUACCAAGGCGCUUGAGAGAACUCGGGUGAAGGAACUAGGCAAAAUGGUGCCGUAACUUCGGGAGAAGGCACGCUGGUGUGUAGGUGAAGUCCCUGCGGAUGGAGCUGAGACCAGUCGAAGAUACCAGCUGGCUGCAACUGUUUAUUAAAAACACAGCACUGUGCAAACACGAAAGUGGACGUAUACGGUGUGACGCCUGCCCGGUGCCGGAAGGUUAAUUGAUGGGGUUAUCCGUAAGGAGAAGCUCUUGAUCGAAGCCCCGGUAAACGGCGGCCGUAACUAUAACGGUCCUAAGGUAGCGAAAUUCCUUGUCGGGUAAGUUCCGACCUGCACGAAUGGCGUAAUGAUGGCCAGGCUGUCUCCACCCGAGACUCAGUGAAAUUGAACUCGCUGUGAAGAUGCAGUGUACCCGCGGCAAGACGGAAAGACCCCGUGAACCUUUACUAUAGCUUGACACUGAACAUUGAGCCUUGAUGUGUAGGAUAGGUGGGAGGCUUUGAAGCGUGGACGCCAGUCUGCGUGGAGCCAACCUUGAAAUACCACCCUUUAAUGUUUGAUGUUCUAACGUUGGCCCCUUACCGGGGUUGCGGACAGUGUCUGGUGGGUAGUUUGACUGGGGCGGUCUCCUCCCAAAGCGUAACGGAGGAGCACGAAGGUUAGCUAAUCCUGGUCGGACAUCAGGAGGUUAGUGCAAUGGCAUAAGCUAGCUUGACUGCGAGCGUGACGGCGCGAGCAGGUGCGAAAGCAGGUCAUAGUGAUCCGGUGGUUCUGAAUGGAAGGGCCAUCGCUCAACGGAUAAAAGGUACUCCGGGGAUAACAGGCUGAUACCGCCCAAGAGUUCAUAUCGACGGCGGUGUUUGGCACCUCGAUGUCGGCUCAUCACAUCCUGGGGCUGAAGUAGGUCCCAAGGGUAUGGCUGUUCGCCAUUUAAAGUGGUACGCGAGCUGGGUUUAGAACGUCGUGAGACAGUUCGGUCCCUAUCUGCCGUGGGCGCUGGAGAAUUGAGGGGGGCUGCUCCUAGUACGAGAGGACCGGAGUGGACGCAUCACUGGUGUUCGGGUUGUCAUGCCAAUGGCACUGCCCGGUAGCUAAAUGCGGAAGAGAUAAGUGCUGAAAGCAUCUAAGCACGAAACUUGCCCCGAGAUGAGUUCUCCCUGAGACUUUAAGUCUCCUGAAGGAACGUUGAAGACGACGACGUUGAUAGGCCGGGUGUGUAAGCGCAGCGAUGCGUUGAGCUAACCGGUACUAAUGAACCGUGAGGCUUAACCUU